CUUUCUGUGCCUGUUUCCUCAUCUGUGAUAACAGGACUAUGAUAGUACCUACAUAUGCUGGAGAAAUUUAAAGCAGACCAGUGUGACUGGUGGGAGAGUUGUGUGAGAUGUGGCUAAAGAGGUAGGCAGGUUGCAGACCCUGAAUUAAGCAAUAAUUGAGUGCCCGCUAUGCAAUGGGUACUAUGCUGGAAGCUUUAUACAUGUUAUUUCGACUGAGUUGCUUCUCUUCAAGGAAACACUCAUUGACCAAAUUAUUGAAUGAGUGAAAUGCAAUUGUGCUCUUUUAAGGAGGAUUGAAUACACUGCCUUCAGCCUAGGAUUCUUCUUGAGAAAGGAACUGUGCCAACUGUAUAGUUCUCUGAUUAAGUAGUCUCUUUCCUCAGCCAUUUCUAAUGGCAGAGUCUCCUGGGUCGGAACAGAAGAAGUGAAUGCAGUUAGUUGGAAGGCAUGAGCUUCGCACUCAGAAGAUUGAGGCUCAGGUCCCACUGUUGCCAUGUUUCAGGCCGUGUGAGCUUGGGCCAGUCAAUUCCCCUUCACAAGCAUUAUUUUCCACAUCCAAAGAAUACAAUACUCAGUUGCCUUUUCAAAUUGCUAUGGAGAUCAGGUGAAAUAAUGCAUAUGGAAACCAUUUUCACAAUCCAGGAGGUAGCAUACAAUGUUAGAGACCAGUCAGUAUUCAUUGAGAGUUGACUUCUGCCUGCCCGCUGUUCUGGUCAACCUACUGGACCCAAGCAAAACACCCCAUUCAAGUAAGGACACCUGUUACCAUGUGAGAUGCCACCUCACAAAGGAGGGGAGGGGGCACAGCUGUCCUGACCACCUUCCCAGCUUUCACUGAAAAAGCUCUUUUUCUCCUUGGGCUGGGUCCUCUCUCCUGCUGCCUCCACCAUUCCGGUCUUCAUUCCCAAGCCCUUCAGCCAGACAUCAGAAUUUCUCCUUGCACAGCGUUGUUUGAGCAUUCACUGAAGCAAAACCACCUAAAUUGAAAACCACCUGAAUAUUCAUCAAUGAGACAAAGCCUUCCUUGAUAUCCAAGCAUGUAAAAUGUUGAUGGUUGGAGAGUGAAAAAAAGAAAAGAAAAAAGCAUCUGGAUAACCUGACACAAAAAUUAAGAUACACCAUGUUUUAAUUCAUAGGUAAAUCAAUCCAGAUUGGAAUAUCUGCUUUCAUCCCCUAUAUGUCAGUUUAGACAUGACUGCAUUUGGAAAGCCUUUGUUGACACCUGAGUGUAUUGUAUAGUUCAAUCAGUGAAGACUGAUACAUCAUCUUAUAUCAGCUGCAUUCCUUCAUCUUAUGACAAACAUAAACAUGAUUUUAAAAGUUGAAUAUCUUGUCGGAGGACAAAAUCAGUGAUUUCCAGCAGGAGUGAUGCAAAAGCUGCAAGGCUUUGUACUAGAGGAAGAGGAUAUAGUUAAAGGCAUCAGGAUGUCUACAAAACAGAUUUAUUUCCAUCUCAGCAGGAUGCAGCCAUGUUUCUCUAAGUGUUGAUUAAACUGUUCCUCCAUGG